rnacentral:rRNA from 1 species
CACGUAGGGCGCGAGCGUUGUCCGGAAUUAUUGGGCGUAAAGAGCUCGUAGGCGGCCUGUUGCGUCCGCUGUGAAAGCCCGGGGCUUAACCCCCGGGUCGGCAGUGGAUACGGGCAGGCUAGAGGUAGGUAGGGGAGAAUGGAAUUCCCGGUGUAGCGGUGAAAUGCGCAGAUAUCAGGAGGAACACCGGUGGCGAAGGCGGGUCUCUGGGCCGAUACUGACGCUGAGGAGCGAAAGCGUGGGGAGCGAACAGG